GGGAUAAUGGUGUAGUGGCUAUCAUACUUGCUUUGGGUGCAAGUGGUCCUGGGUUCAAAUCCCAGUUGUCCCC